AGUGAACGCUGGCGGUAGGCCUAACACAUGCAAGUCGAACGGCAGCACAGUAAGAGCUUGCUCUUACGGGUGGCGAGUGGCGGACGGGUGAGGAAUACAUCGGACUCUACUUUUUCGUGGGGGAUAACGUAGGGAAACUUACGCUAAUACCGCAUACGACCUACGGGUGAAAGCAGGGGAUCUUCGGACCUUGCGCGAUUGAAUGAGCCGAUGUCGGAUUAGCUAGUUGGCGGGGUAAAGGCCCACCAAGGCGACGAUCCGUAGCUGGUCUGAGAGGAUGAUCAGCCACACUGGAACUGAGACACGGUCCAGACUCCUACGGGAGGCAGCAGUGGGGAAUAUUGGACAAUGGGCGCAGGCCUGAUCCAGCCAUACCGCGUGGGUGAAGAAGGCCUUCGGGUUGUAAAGCCCUUUUGUUGGGAAAGAAAAGCAGCAGGUUAAUACCCCGCUGUUCUGACGGUACCCAAAGAAUAAGCACCGGCUAACUUCGUG
rnacentral:rRNA from 1 species